rnacentral:rRNA from 1 species
AUGCCUCGGAAAUCGUCCAAGGCCGCCGCCAACGCACUCCAACGCCUCAACCUCGACGCCGAGGAUGCUCCCGUAGAGACGCUGCCGGCGAAAGCUUCUUCGUCCGGGACCGCCGCGGUGGGUGGGGGCCAGGAGGAAGAGUGCUUGAGAAGGCUGCACGAGCUGGUGGGGUUUGGUCGGGAGAGAGUGGAGUUGACUGAGGAGGAGGUGCGCGCCAACGAUCAGAGGCAGGAGGACGAGAUAUGUGCCCUGGAAGCGAUUUUUGGUGACAAUCUAGUCAUGUUCAGUAGAAAGGAGGGCCAGCGAUCUUUCCAGGUUCAUGUGCAUAUUGAGAUCCCAGAUGGUACAAAUGUAUCGGCCAGGCUCAGUUCUGGUGCUGGGACACCAAAUUACAAGCAAGCACAUGAUCAUGAUGGUGAUGCCAGUGAUGAGCUGUUUUACAAGUUUAGGGUUGAUCAUUUACCUCCGAUCCUGUUAUCAUGCCUCCUGCCUUUGUCGUACCCUAGCCAUCAACCACCUUUUUUCACUAUAUCCACCGAAUGGCUGGACAGAGUGAUGAUUUCGUCAUUAUGUGAGAUGCUGGAUAUGACCUGGGAAGAGCAACAGGGCAUGGAAGUAAUAUAUCAGUGGGUGCAACGGCUCCAAAGCUCUUCCCUUUCUUACUUAGGGUUUGGCGAUGAGAUAGUUUUAAGCAAGCAUGAUCAAACAUAUGCUGAAGAUGGUGGGGAUAAGCGUGCUUUAACACACAAUGCUCCACCUGAUGUUACAAUUCCAAGGAUUAUUAGAUACAAUGAUGAUAAGCAUCAUGAAGCCUUUUUGUAUGCUAUCCAUUACUGCAUGAUUUGUUUUAGCGAGUUUCCAGGUGUCGAUUUCAUCAAACUUCCAUGCCAUCAUUUCUUUUGCCAGAAAUGCAUGCAAACAUAUUGCAAAAUGCAUGUGAAGGAAGGAACUGUAGUGAAGUUGUUGUGUCCUGAUACAAAAUGUGGAGUCGUUGUUCCUCCUAAUAUAUUGAAAAGGCUGCUAGGGGAGGACGAGUUUGAACGUUGGGAAACAUUGCUUCAGAGAACUCUUGACGCAAUGGUUGAUGUAGUUUAUUGUCCGAGAUGUCAAACUGCUUGCUUGGAAGAUGCAGGUGAUGAAGCCUUGUGUCCAAGUUGUUUAUUCAGCUUUUGCGCACUUUGUAGAGAGCGGCGUCAUGUUGGGGUGCAAUGUUUAUCUCCAGAAGAAAAACUUCAUAUUUUGGAGGAACGUCAAAAGUCCGCACGAACAAAGGGAGAUAUUCAGAAGCUUAUGGAUGAAGUAUGCACCAUCAAGGAAAUUUUGAAAGAUGCAAAGCAAUGCCCGCGUUGCAAGAUGGCUAUAUCUAAGAUUGAUGGAUGCAAUAAGAUGACCUGUUGGAACUGCGGCGAGUUUUUCUGCUACCAAUGUAACGCUGCAAUUAGUGGAUAUGAUCAUUUCAAGGGUGAUUGUGUGGUAUUUGAUCAGGUUGAAAUCGAUAGAUUGCAGACACAUAUGAAUCAAAGGCUACACCGCCUGGUUAUUGGACGAGUGCAGGCUGCCUUGUUUGCACGAGGACAUGCUUACCCGUGUCCUACUUGCGGCCAAGCAAUUCGGAAGAUUGGAAACAACAAUCAUCUGUACUGUUGGUCAUGCAACCAACACUGCUGCGCAUUGUGCCGCACGUCUUUCCAGAAGAUGUCACAGCAUUUUGGUCCCGCGGGAUGUAAGCAACAUACUGCAAAUCCCUGA